GACGAACCGUGCGAACGUUGUUCGGAAUCACUGGGCUUAAAGGGCGCGUAGGCGGCUCAUCAAGUCCGGGGUGAAAGCCCCCAGCUUAACUGGGGAAGUGCCUCGGAUACUGGUGAACUGGAGGGAGGUAGGGGCGGAUGGAACUUCCGGUGGAGCGGUGAAAUGCGUUGAUAUCGGAAGGAACGCCGGUGGCGAAAGCGAUCCGCUGGACCUCUACUGACGCUGAGGCGCGAAAGCCAGGGGAGCAAACGGG
rnacentral:rRNA from 1 species